UAAAAACUGGACUGACUCACAGAAAGCGAUUGGGGCAGAUGGAGCAAGUGAUCUGCCCAAAUCACCCGCCCCAAUCACAUUGACAGCAGAAAUUGACAGCAGAGCGGGAAAUUGUGCAGAAAACAGAAAUUCGAAUUUUGAGAAGUCCAAAUCCACUUCAAACACUGCCAUCACAGUUCCAAGAGCCACGAAAGAGUUUCUCACCUAAGGAAUUCCAAUUGCAAUUAAAUUCAACAUCAAG
rnacentral:lncRNA from 1 species